GAUGAACGCUAGCGGCAGGCUUAACACAUGCAAGUCGAGGGGUAUAGUUUUUCGGAACUAGAGACCGGCGCACGGGUGCGUAACGCGUAUGCAAUCUACCUUUUGCAGAGGGAUAGCCCAGAGAAAUUUGGAUUAAUACCUCAUAGUAUGUGAGAAUGGCAUCAUUUUCACAUUAAAGUCACAACGGCAAAAGAUGAGCAUGCGUCCCAUUAGCUAGUUGGUAAGGUAACGGCUUACCAAGGCAACGAUGGGUAGGGGUCCUGAGAGGGAGAUCCCCCACACUGGUACUGAGACACGGACCAGACUCCUACGGGAGGCAGCAGUGAGGAAUAUUGGACAAUGGGCGCAAGCCUGAUCCAGCCAUGCCGCGUGCAGGAUGACGGUCCUAUGGAUUGUAAACUGCUUUUAUACGAGAAGAAACACUCCGACGUGUCGGAGCUUGACGGUAUCGUAAGAAUAAGGAUCGGCUAACUCCGUG
rnacentral:rRNA from 1 species